rnacentral:rRNA from 1 species
GACGAACGCUUGCGGCGUGCCUAAGAAAUGCAAGUCGAGCGGAGAAGUAGCAAUACUUCUUAGCGGCGAACGGUCGCGUAACACGUAAGCAACCUGCCGAAAAGACCGGGACAACAGCCCGAAAGGGCUGCUAAUACCGGAUGUGGCCACUUUCUCGCAUGGGAGAGUGAUUAAACCGAGCAAUCGGCUUUUCGAGGGGCUUGCGGCCUAUCAGCUAGUUGGUGGGGUAACGGCCUACCAAGGCGACGACGGGUAGCUGGUCUGAGAGGACGGCCAGCCGGACUGGGACUGAGAUACGGCCCAGACUCCUACGGGGGCAGCAAUUAGGAAUCUUGCGCAAUGGGCGAAAGCCUGACGCAGCGACGCCGCGUGGAGGAGGAA